UACAGAGGUCUCAAGCGCUGUUCGGAUUCAUUGGGCGUAAAGGGUGCGUAGGUGGCGCCGUAAGUCGGGUGUGAAAUUUCGGAGCUUAACUCCGAAACUGCAUUCGAUACUGCGGUGCUUGAGGACUGGAGAGGAGACUGGAAUUCAUGGUGUAGCAGUGAAAUGCGUAGAGAUCAUGAGGAAGACCAGUGGCGAAGGCGGGUCUCUGGACAGUUCCUGACACUGAGGCACGAAGGCCAGGGGAGCAAACGGG
rnacentral:rRNA from 1 species